AUUAAUUAUGCAUUUUUAGAGAUAGAAGAACAUACAUUUAGAUAUCCUUCUCCCCACAUAUUAUUCUUCAUGCUAUUUUGUCUCCCUUUCUUUCUAUUUUUUCAUUUGUUUCUCCCUCCUCCCUUUUCCUAUUUUCUGGCUCUCCCUUCUCCCUAUUCUAGUUUUUUGUGUUGUUCACCCACUCACCCCUCUCUUUCUUCCUGAUUUGUUAUCCCUUUUCACUCUUUUCUGGGGGGAGGGGUACUGGGUGAAUCAUCUCAAGUACCUUAUCCCUCCACCCCCACCCCCCACCCCCUCUGGUAACCAUGGCUGACCCACCAGUGCAGGCUACAUAUACCUUUCUCAAACACUUUGAGAAAUUAUAAAGCAACAUUAUUUAUAUUUUUUUAUCUUGCAUAUUAGUUGGAGUACACUAUCGACCAUCUACAUAGUGACUACUAUUGGAAAAAGCUCUUGCUGUUUAGUAUCAUCGCCUCCAUCGCCUUCAUUGUAUACUACAUCUACAGUACUUGCUCUGUCAAUCAGCACAAGACCAACAGUACCCAGGAUGCAUCUUCGACACCUCCAAUAUCAAGUACUUCUCUAGUACUCGCAGAUAUAAUAAGGAGAAAUGAGUCAAGGAGAUUAUUCAAUGGUAUUAGAAUCAAUUCAGCUUAUCUUCCUAGAUCAUUCAGUGGAUUUGGUGGAUUCGGUUGGAAUUCAGGGAUUGUAGGGACAAAGAGGCGCUGAAAGUAGUUUUCCCCAUUACACAAAGAUAUCUUUUCUCUUAGGUGAACCUGGCAUGUAGGGGAAGUAUAUAAACAUAUAUAUAUGUUUGUCUUCAGUACCAAGUCUUCGUAGAUAUAACUUGUAAUUCAGCGUAAAAACUGUAAGAAACUGUAACGCCUUCCGCUGACGACGGAGUACAGAAAGAGAGUCAGAGAAAAUUACUGAAUUUUUUUGCGAAAACACCAAUUGAAAGAGAAUUAAAACUGAAUCCCAAAUUGCAACAAGUCGAUAUUAAUUGCAAUUGUUAAUUGUUGUUCAUUGAUAAACUGAUAUAGUUUUUAGUUAAUAUCGACGAUAUACAGAAAGAGAGAGAGCAAUUUUUUUUUUUUUGCGAACUAACAAGAAGUGUACGUAGCGUUCAUUUGAUAAAACUAUUUUCUGCAUGCAGUGU